rnacentral:lncRNA from 1 species
AGGAAGAAGCUGUAGGAGAGAAGGAAGAGUCCAGUCCCACGGCUGCCUGGGUCAGGAGACUGCGCAUGAGCGGCAUUGCUAGUUUACACAGCUCAGGAGCCACCCCUUCAAUAAGUCUGCCUGAAGUGCGCUUAGCAGGAGCCCUCCAAGCUGUUUGUUUCAGGAAGUGGGGGAGAGUUCUGAGUCUACACUAACAGGAGACUGGAGGGUCGUCUUACACUUUCUGGAACUACAUUAAGAGAACAGCAGAUUGACUUAAAUAUUUGAAGAUCUUCUGAUGAAGACAUGCUGUGGUAACUAUGGAACGGUGAAUGUGGGGCCUCUUUCAGAGCACCUGAGAGGGACAUGUGGCCCAGAACUUGUCCUGAAGAAUACAAAGGUCACUUUACUGUCUCCAUGCUCGUCUUGGUCAUUGUUCCAAACUAAGUAUUUCUCAUUCCGAUUUCCCAUAUUUCUAAGCACCCUCUCUUACCAAGCUCUUUACAUUACGCUUUAGUUAUGACUUUGUUAUUUAUUUGUGUCAGAGGCAGAGGGACAACCUGUGGAAGUUAGCUCUAGCCUUCUUCUUCCAUGAGAGUCCUGGGGAUAGAACUCAGGCUUGGCAGCAAGAGCCCCUCU